rnacentral:rRNA from 1 species
GGGCCCGCACAAGCAGUGGAGCAUGUGGUUUAAUUCGAUGCAACGCGAAGAACCUUACCAGGCCUUGACAUCCCCGGAACUUUCUAGAGAUAGAUUGGUGCCUUCGGGAACCGGGUGACAGGUGCUGCAUGGCUGUCGUCAGCUCGUGUCGUGAGAUGUUGGGUUAAGUCCCGUAACGAGCGCAACCCCUGUCGUUAGUUGCCAGCAAGUUAAGUUGGGCACUCUAGCGAGACUGCCGGUGCAAACCGCGAGGAAGGUGGGGAUGACGUCAAAUCAUCAUGGCCCUUACGGCCUGGGCUACACACGUGCUACAAUGGCUAGGACAGACGGCCGCAAACCCGCGAGGGGGAGCCAAUCCGACAAACCUAGUCGUAGUCCGGAUCGGAGUCUGCAACUCGACUCCGUGAAGUCGGAAUUGCUAGUAAUCG